rnacentral:rRNA from 1 species
GACGUAGGGCGCGAGCGUUGUCCGGAUUUAUUGGGCGUAAAGAGCUCGUAGGCGGUUUGUCGCGUCUGCUGUGAAAACCCGGGGCUCAACCCCGGGCCUGCAGCCGAUACGGGCAGACUAGAGUUCGGCAGGGGAGACUGGAAUUCCUGGUGUAGCGGUGAAAUGCGCAGAUAUCAGGAGGAACACCGGUGGCGAAGGCGGGUCUCUGGGCCGAUACUGACGCUGAGGAGCGAAAGCGUGGGGAGCGAACAGG